UGGAGCCUCAGAUAACAGAAGCCAUGGU
rnacentral:piRNA from 1 species